GUAGAAUGGUGGUCUGUGACGAAUGGUGCAGGUGUUGCUCAUUUCCAAUUACUCCACCGGCCUCGACCUGUUCCCACGGCUUUCGGCCCCGUCCCACUCAUCACAUGGUCAUUUUUAUAUUGGACAUUCCUUCUAAACACAAACUCUCAUGCCCCAAUUUUGGAAUAUAGGUCUUGAAAGAGGUUAAUCAGAAUGGAAGGGUAAAAGUAUUUAGCUUGCAGUCCAUAAAGUAGGGACUCGAGCACUUUAAACUAAAGAUACCCCUUGGACUACUUCAAGUUAAAACUUGGCAGAUUUGGGUGGUGCAAGGGUGUGAAAGAAUUGUCACAGGAGUGAGGGACCCAAGCAGCACCCCGUGGACCCUGCAUUACACUUGAGUUACACAGCUACACAAGUCCUGAAAAGACUUCCCUUAUUUUUUGAUACUGUAGUCUGGUAUGAUUCUACUCUUCUGUGAGCUUUUUUGAUGAAACACCAUCUAAACAGAACCUAAACACAGAACCCUGUGUCAGAUGGUGUGUGAAUUUUAAUGAAACGUCUCAAAAUACUAUGGUGGAUUUAAUUUAAAUGUAGUUUCCCCCACUUUUUUGCAAAAAAACAUUUUUCACAAGCUGUGUAAGUAGUAUAUAAUUCAUAAUUUUGUUUAUUGUUUCUAUUUCUAAAAUUACUUGGAUUAUUUGCAUUGUGUUUAAAGUGGUUUGAAUUGUUCACACAAAUAUGUAUUUUCACAUCUCACAAUCAGAACUAAUGAUGUUAUAGAUCAGAGCAAAGACAUGCCUCCCACUAGGCCAGGAAAUCUCAUUGAUGUGUUCACGGGGAGUACUAAAAAAAGUGCCCUCCAAAAAAAUCGAAUCAACAGCUUCCUAGCCAACUGGAAAUGAAUAGAGAAGAAGACUUAUGGGACUUGUGAUUGUUAUGAGCAUUUGUUUGAGUCUUGAUCUUGUGUUCUCACUGAUAAACCGCCAUCUGCCACAAAGUGAGAGACAGAGGGAGAGAGCGAGUGAGUGCAAAAGAUCAGAGAGAGAGAGGGAGGUAGCUUAUCCAGUCCCUAGGGGGACUUCUCAAACCAAUUCUCACCUCCUGAGGAGCAGAUGGGGGAGGAAGAGGGACAGUUUUGGAUGAACUGGAACACACUGAUGUCUAGGAGGAGCUGCUGAAGACACUGCAGAGGAUAAUUGGAAACCACGAAUAAUAUUCUGUGAUAUUUGAUCUAUUUAAGGAGAAGCUAAUGAAAAAGAGAGAAUGUGCUCUCUGUAAAAAUAUGUGGUGUGUGUGUGUGUUUUAAUUGUCUGGUAGGUGAGAGUAAAUGGGUCAUGAAAUUCUGUGUG
ensembl:lncRNA